rnacentral:rRNA from 1 species
UGGGGAAUUUGGACAAUGGGCGAAAGCCUGAUCCAGCAAUGCCGCGUGUGUGAAGAAGGCCUUCGGGUUGUAAAGCACUUUUGUCCGGAAAGAAAUCCUUGGCUCUAAUACAGUCGGGGGAUGACGGUACCGGAAGAAUAAGCACCGGCUAACUACGUGCCAGCAGCCGCGGUAAUACGUAGGGUGCAAGCGUUAAUCGGAAUUACUGGGCGUAAAGCGUGCGCAGGCGGUUUGCUAAGACCGAUGUGAAAUCCCCGGGCUCAACCUGGGAACUGCAUUGGUGACUGGCAGGCUAGAGUAUGGCAGAGGGGGGUAGAAUUCCACGUGUAGCAGUGAAAUGCGUAGAGAUGUGGAGGAAUACCGAUGGCGAAGGCAGCCCCCUGGGCCAAUACUGACGCUCAUGCACGAAAGCGUGGGGAGCAAACAGGAUUAGAUACCCUGGUAGUCCACGCCCUAAACGAUGUCAACUAGUUGUUGGGGAUUCAUUUCCUUAGUAACGUAGCUAACGCGUGAAGUUGACCGCCUGGGGAGUACGGUCGCAAGAUUAAAACUCAAAUGAAUUGACGGGGUCAUGCU